rnacentral:rRNA from 1 species
GGUUAAGCGACUAAGCGUACACGGUGGAUGCCCUGGCAGUCAGAGGCGAUGAAGGACGUGCUAAUCUGCGAAAAGCGUCGGUAAGGUGAUAUGAACCGUUACAGCCGGCGAUGUCCGAAUGGGGAAACCCAGUGCAAUUCGUUGCACUAUCGUUAACUGAAUACAUAGGUUAACGAGGCGAACCGGGGGAACUGAAACAUCUAAGUACCCCGAGGAAAAGAAAUCAACCGAGAUUCCCCCAGUAGCGGCGAGCGAACGGGGAGCAGCCCAGAGUCUGAAUCAGCUUGUGUGUUAGUGGAACGGUCUGGAAAGUCCGACGGUACAGGGUGAUAGUCCCGUACACCAAAAUGCACAGGCUGUGAACUCGAAGAGUAGGGCGGGACACGUGGUAUCCUGUCUGAAUAUGGGGGGACCAUCCUCCAAGGCUAAAUACUCCUGACUGACCGAUAGUGAACCAGUACCGUGAGGGAAAGGCGAAAAGAACCCCGGCGAGGGGAGUGAAAAAGAACCUGAAACCGUGUACGUACAAGCAGUGGGAGCACCUUCGGGUGUGACUGCGUACCUUUUGUAUAAUGGGUCAGCGACUUAUAUUCUGUAGCAAGGUUAACCGUAUAGGGGAGCCGCAGGGAAACCGAGUCUUAACUGGGCGUUAAGUUGCAGGGUAUAGACCCGAAACCCGGUGAUCUAGCCAUGGGCAGGUUGAAGGUUGGGUAACACUAACUGGAGGACCGAACCGACUAAUGUUGAAAAAUUAGCGGAUGACUUGUGGCUGGGGGUGAAAGGCCAAUCAAACCGGGAGAUAGCUGGUUCUCCCCGAAAGCUAUUUAGGUAGCGCCUCGUGAACUCAUCUUCGGGGGUAGAGCACUGUUUCGGCUAGGGGGUCAUCCCGACUUACCAACCCGAUGCAAACUACGAAUACCGAAGAAUGUUAUCACGGGAGACACACGGCGGGUGCUAACGUCCGUCGUGAAGAGGGAAACAACCCAGACCGCCAGCUAAGGUCCCAAAGUCAUGGUUAAGUGGGAAACGAUGUGGGAAGGCACAGACAGCCAGGAUGUUGGCUUAGAAGCAGCCAUCAUUUAAAGAAAGCGUAAUAGCUCACUGGUCGAGUCGGCCUGCGCGGAAGAUGUAACGGGGCUAAACCAUGCACCGAAGCUGCGGCAGCGACACUAUGUGUUGUUGGGUAGGGGAGCGUUCUGUAAGCCUGCGAAGGUGUGCUGUGAGGCAUGCUGGAGGUAUCAGAAGUGCGAAUGCUGACAUAAGUAACGAUAAAGCGGGUGAAAAGCCCGCUCGCCGGAAGACCAAGGGUUCCUGUCCAACGUUAAUCGGGGCAGGGUGAGUCGACCCCUAAGGCGAGGCCGAAAGGCGUAGUCGAUGGGAAACAGGUUAAUAUUCCUGUACUUGGUGUUACUGCGAAGGGGGGACGGAGAAGGCUAUGUUAGCCGGGCGACGGUUGUCCCGGUUUAAGCAUGUAGGCUGAUUGUCCAGGCAAAUCCGGAUAAUCAAGGCUGAGGUGUGAUGACGAGGCACUACGGUGCUGAAGUAACAAAUGCCCUGCUUCCAGGAAAAGCCUCUAAGCAUCAGGUAACAUCAAAUCGUACCCCAAACCGACACAGGUGGUCAGGUAGAGAAUACCAAGGCGCUUGAGAGAACUCGGGUGAAGGAACUAGGCAAAAUGGUGCCGUAACUUCGGGAGAAGGCACGCUGGUGUGUAGGUGAAGUCCCUGCGGAUGGAGCUGAGACCAGUCGAAGAUACCAGCUGGCUGCAACUGUUUAUUAAAAACACAGCACUGUGCAAACACGAAAGUGGACGUAUACGGUGUGACGCCUGCCCGGUGCCGGAAGGUUAAUUGAUGGGGUUAUCCGUAAGGAGAAGCUCUUGAUCGAAGCCCCGGUAAACGGCGGCCGUAACUAUAACGGUCCUAAGGUAGCGAAAUUCCUUGUCGGGUAAGUUCCGACCUGCACGAAUGGCGUAAUGAUGGCCAGGCUGUCUCCACCCGAGACUCAGUGAAAUUGAACUCGCUGUGAAGAUGCAGUGUACCCGCGGCAAGACGGAAAGACCCCGUGAACCUUUACUAUAGCUUGACACUGAACAUUGAGCCUUGAUGUGUAGGAUAGGUGGGAGGCUUUGAAGCGUGGACGCCAGUCUGCGUGGAGCCAACCUUGAAAUACCACCCUUUAAUGUUUGAUGUUCUAACGUUGGCCCCUNACCGGGGUUGCGGACAGUGUCUGGUGGGUAGUUUGACUGGGGCGGUCUCCUCCCAAAGCGUAACGGAGGAGCACGAAGGUUAGCUAAUCCUGGUCGGACAUCAGGAGGUUAGUGCAAUGGCAUAAGCUAGCUUGACUGCGAGCGUGACGGCGCGAGCAGGUGCGAAAGCAGGUCAUAGUGAUCCGGUGGUUCUGAAUGGAAGGGCCAUCGCUCAACGGAUAAAAGGUACUCCGGGGAUAACAGGCUGAUACCGCCCAAGAGUUCAUAUCGACGGCGGUGUUUGGCACCUCGAUGUCGGCUCAUCACAUCCUGGGGCUGAAGUAGGUCCCAAGGGUAUGGCUGUUCGCCAUUUAAAGUGGUACGCGAGCUGGGUUUAGAACGUCGUGAGACAGUUCGGUCCCUAUCUGCCGUGGGCGCUGGAGAAUUGAGGGGGGCUGCUCCUAGUACGAGAGGACCGGAGUGGACGCAUCACUGGUGUUCGGGUUGUCAUGCCAAUGGCACUGCCCGGUAGCUAAAUGCGGAAGAGAUAAGUGCUGAAAGCAUCUAAGCACGAAACUUGCCCCGAGAUGAGUUCUCCCUGAGACUUUAAGUCUCCUGAAGGAACGUUNNGACGANGACGUUGAUAGGCCGGGUGUGUAAGCGCAGCGAUGCGUUGAGCUAACCGGUACUAAUGAACCGUGAGGCUUAACCUU